rnacentral:rRNA from 1 species
UACGUAGGGGGCGAGCGUUGUCCGGAUUUACUGGGCGUAAAGGGCGCGCAGGCGGUCUGGUAAGUUUGGAGUGACAGUGCUCGGCUUAACUGAGCAAGGCCUUCGAAAACUGUCAGACUUGAGCACUCAAGAGGGACAUAGAAUUCCGGGUGGAGUGGUGAAAUGCGUAGAUAUCCGGAGGAAUACCAAAGGCGAAGGCAGUGUCCUGGGGAGUGUCUGACGCUCAGGCGCGAAAGCUAGGGGAGCGAACAGG